GCAUAUCAAUAAGCGGAGGAAAAGAAACUAACAAGGAUUCCCCUAGUAACGGCGAGUGAAGCGGGAAGAGCUCAAAUUUGAAAUCUGGUAGCCUUCGGUUGCCCGAGUUGUAAUCUAGAGAAGUGUUUUCCGUGCCGGCCCAUGUACAAGUCCCUUGGAACAGGGCGUCAUAGAGGGUGAGAAUCCCGUCCUUGACAUGGACCCCCGGUGCUUUGUGAUACACUUUCAACGAGUCGAGUUGUUUGGGAAUGCAGCUCAAAAUGGGUGGUGAAUUCCAUCUAAAGCUAAAUAUUGGCGAGAGACCGAUAGCGAACAAGUACCGUGAGGGAAAGAUGAAAAGCACUUUGGAAAGAGAGUUAAACCGUACGUGAAAUUGUUGAAAGGGAAACGAUUGAAGUCAGUCAUGCUCUUAGGAUUCAGCCGUUCUGCGGUGUAUUUCCUUUGAGUGGGGUCAACAUCAGUUUUGAUCGAUGGAUAAAUGCACGAGGAAGGUAGCACUCUCGGGUGAACUUAUAGCCUCGCGUCAUAUACAUUGAUUGGGACUGAGGAACGCAGCAUGCCUUUAUGGCCGGGAUUCGUCCACGUACAUGCUUAGGAUGUUGACAUAAUGGCUUUAAACGACCCGUCUUUGAAACACGGACC
rnacentral:rRNA from 1 species